rnacentral:tRNA from 1 species
GUGUGCGUAGUUUAAAAAAACACCAAGCUGUGACCUUGACGAUAGGAACUCUCCUCACACACC